GUGACAAAAGGAGCGAAGGAACCUGCCAUCCUAGGAGAGGAGAGGAGAGGGACGGGACUCGUGCGGCGUAUGUUUUAAUUUACUGAUUUCAAUCUAAAUGCGUCUGUUUGCGCGAACAAACCACUGGGCGUGCAUGCAUGUUGUUUACAAACCCAAGCCUCGUGAAGACCCACAGAGCCUGAGCACGGAAAGGACAAAGCACUGAAUUGACAAUGAGGUCGGAUAUUUGCAUAUAACAAAAGGAUCCUCCAGUGGAGAAGGCUUUGUAUUAUUGUGAGGAGGCCAGCUAUUAAUUUAUGAACUGCAGGCACAGGCGGCUUUCUGUGAAGAAGUGUUCAAGGACUCCGGCUAUCGAAAGGAUGAGGCUACCCAUGUUUGCAAUCCACCACAAUGCCCUGGCGUACUCCAUGACAACGCUAGGGUCCUGCAUGAUGACCAGUAUUUUCAGCUUCUAUUAUGUUAAAUUGUUUCUGAACAAGUACCAGAUCUCAGAGGGAGCUUUCCAUCAAGCCCAGGUCCUGUACAUGAUCUGGAAUGCAGUAAAUGAUCCUCUCUUUGGAUACAUCCAGGACAAUUCCAGGGUGCGUUGCUGUGCACGUCGACGUCUCUCCAUUCUCUAUGGAGCACCUUUCUACGCCCUGGCAUUUCUGCUCCCCUGGUUUCCCUGGAAGACAUAUGAGGCGGGAGAUGCUCUGAGUGGCCUGCAUCUUAUCGUAUCCCUUUUCGCCUAUGAUGGCAUGCUGACCUUUGUGCUCUUAGCUCAAUGUGCUCUUUUUGCAGAGAUAUCUGGCCAGCAUGAGAACAGGCUAACACUCAUCAAGUAUAGCCAGAUUGCCUCUCUGGUGGGCUCUUGUAGUGUCCUGUUUUGUGGCUUGGUGUCAGACAAUAUGGAGAACUUCCCAUACUUCCAGGGUUUCACCAUUGCCGUGGCUUUCUUGGCAUGUGCCUGCAUGCUGUACACUGGCAUGUACACUAUCAGCCAGUAUGACAAAGAAGACUGGAAAGGCUCUGGAGAAAGAGAGCAGAAAGCAGAGGUGGCUGGCAUGUCCCUGACUGCUGUCUUCUCCAUGACCAGGCAGAUCGUAACACAGAAAGACUUCUUGUGCUUUGUCUCGAUGAACUUCUGUCAAGUUUUCCUGGUUGCAUUCUACAGCAACUUUGCCAUGAUCUUUACGGAGCACCUCAUUCCCCAAGGGGCCCUCCCGUCCUCAGUGAAGAGCAUCCUUUAUGGAGCAGGGUUCAUUUGUCCUCAGCUCCUGGUCCUGAGUAGCCAAAACCUGCUGAGGAGGCUGGGAUAUUACAGAAUCAUCCUGUGCACGUUCUAUCUUGAAGCGUUAGCCUCAGCUUUGGUCUUCCUCCUUGGGCGUCAACACUACAACAUCUUGGCUCUUUAUCUCAUUGGUAGCAUGGUGCUGGUCCAGGCAACCUUCAGUUUGUUCAAUUUGCCCCUGGCUGAUAUAAUUGAUACUGACUUACAAAAGCACCAGCGCAGCUCCCCGUUAUCCUCCAUGGUGUUUGGUACAAAUGCCCUCUUCACCAAGCCGGCUCAGUCCCUAGCUCCUAUGCUGGUUGUUACGAUUCUGAAUCAGUUUGACUACGAGAAGAUGAAAGAGGCCGCCACCUCCACCUUGGAUCUUAGACCUCAACUGCAGCCACUUCAUGAAGCAAUGUUCUAUCUGGUGUGUCUGCUGCCGGCCUGUGUGGCACUUUUGCAGAUGCUGGUCUGGAAACCCUUUUCUAUACGGGACAGUCACAUUGUGGAGUCUAAAUAUGUGGAGUCUUGAAAAGAGAUCCCGUUGCCAGCAGUGGAAAUCCCUUGAGGCGCACAAGGAUGCGGACCCCUGGUUUGCAGGGUUACAAGGUUACCCCUUUUGGGGCUUUCCAUUUCCAUUCCUCUUACCCACACAACCCUUUGGGAUUUCUGGGAGAUUGGAAAUCGCAUACAAGAGUCCAGGACAAGACCCUGAUUUAUGGGAGACUUGGUAUGUCUGCUGUUCAAUAGCAGCUUUUUGUGAUGUAAAAAAAUGAAGCAAGAUAAAUCAUGUUGGAACGUUUUAUAUCUCUAUUGUAAAAUUGCAACCGAUACCAUGGUGAAAACAAAUUGGAACCCGUUUAGAGGAAAAAAAAAAAAAGAAAAACAUGCAAAAACCUGAUUGUGCACACCCCUACCACGGGUAUCGAACUCCAGUUCUGGAGGACUGCAGGUUUUCAUUCUAACCAUCUUCUUCAUUAGGCACCGUUUUUUGCUGCUAAUUAACUUCUUUUGCUUUAG